UUUGGUUUCACAUCUUUAACUGUGAUGAACUCCACAGGACAGAAAAGGAAGGGUCUAUAUUCAACAUGAUAUCUACAGUCUUCUUGAUCUAUUUCUUUCAGCUCAUAGCGAAGUAUGGAGUUUCUAGCACCUACACGGUCCAGCAAACACCUCCUUCCAUCAUUAAGAAAGUUGGUCAAUCUGUAUCCAGUGAGAUCCACUGUUCACAUGAGGUGUCGUCUUUUAAUCGGAUUCUCUGGUACAAACAAGAUGAACACAGAGCUCUAAAGUUCCUCGGAUACCUAAAUGUAAACUCACCAAUCCCCGAGGAUGAUGUGAAAGGGAAAAUCAACUUUGAUGGAAAUGCCAGAAAACAUUCAAACCUGACCAUUUCUAAUGUGUCAGUGACUGACAGUGCUGUGUAUUUCUGUGCUGCCAGCACGGUGUUUCCUAAUAAAGAGGUGGGGUACACACUGGACAGGUUGUCAUGCUGUGGCAGAGCUAACAUAGAGACACAGAGGCAUCAUGAACUGCAGGGGGAUGUCAAGUACCACAAAUACAACUGUCAGUGGUGA